AGAGUUUGAUCCUGGCUCAGGAUGAACGCUAGCUACAGGCUUAACACAUGCAAGUCGAGGGGAAACGAUAUUGGAAGCUUGCUUCCGAUAGGCGUCGACCGGCGCACGGGUGAGUAACGCGUAUCCAACCUGCCCACCACUUGGGGAUAACCUUGCGAAAGUAAGACUAAUACCCAAUGAUAUCUCUAGAAGACAUCUGAAAGAGAUAAAAGAUUUAUCGGUGAUGGAUGGGGAUGCGUCUGAUUAGCUUGUUGGCGGGGUAACGGCCCACCAAGGCAACGAUCAGUAGGGGUUCUGAGAGGAAGGUCCCCCACAUUGGAACUGAGACACGGUCCAAACUCCUACGGGAGGCAGCAGUGAGGAAUAUUGGUCAAUGGACGAGAGUCUGAACCAGCCAAGUAGCGUGCAGGAAGACGGCCCUAUGGGUUAUAAACUGCUUUUAUAAGGGAAUAAAGUGAGAGUCGUGACUCUUUUUGCAUGUACCUUAUGAAUAAGGACCGGCUAAUUCCGUGCCAGCAGCCGCGGUAAUACGGAAGGUCCGGGCGUUAUCCGGAUCUAUUGGGUUUAAAGGGAGCGUAGGCCGGAGAUUAAGCGUGUUGUGAAAUGUAGACGCUCAACGUCUGCACUGCAGCGCGAACAGGUUUCCUUGAGUACGCACAAAGUGGGCGGAAUUCGUGGUGUAGCGGUGAAAUGCUUAGAUAUCACGAAGAACUCCGAUUGCGAAGGCAGCUCACUGGAGCGCAACUGACGCUGAAGCUCGAAAGUGCGGGUAUCGAACAGGAUUAGAUACCCUGGUAGUCCGCACGGUAAACGAUGGAUGCCCGCUGUUGGUCUGAAUAGGUCAGCGGCCAAGCGAAAGCAUUAAGCGUCCCACCUGGGGAGUACGCCGGCAACGGUGAAACUCAAAGGAAUUGACGGGGGCCCGCACAAGCGGUGGAGCAUGUGGUUUAAUUCGAAGCAACGCGAAGAACCUUACCAAAUCUUGACAUCCCGGUGACAAAGUAUGUAAAGUACUCUUUCUUCGGAACACCGGUGACAGGUGGUGCAUGGUUGUCGUCAGCUCGUGUCGUGAGAUGUUGGGUUAAGUCCCGCAACGAGCGCAACCCCUAUCCUUAGUAGCCAGCAGUAAGAUGGGCACUCUAGGGAGACUGCCGGGGAUAACCCGGAGGAAGGUGGGGAUGACGUCAAAUCAUCAUGCCCCUUAUGAUUUGGGCUACACACGUGCUACAAUGGCGUAAACAAAGGGAAGCGAGCCUGCGAGGGGGAGCAAAUCCCAAAAAUAACGUCUCAGUUCGGAUUGUAGUCUGCAACUCGACUACAUGAAGCUGGAAUCGCUAGUAAUCGCAGAUCAGAAUGCUGCGGUGAAUACGUUCCCGGGUCUUGUACACACCGCCCGUCACACCAUGGGAGUCGGAAAUGCCCGAAGCCGGUGACCUAACCGCAAGGAAGGAGCCGUCGAAGGCAGGUCUGAUAACUGGGGUGAAGUCGUAACAAGGUA
rnacentral:rRNA from 1 species